UGCACUCAAUCUUUUAAAAUAUGUUGUUUUGGUUCAUUUACAUGAUGAAAACAUAGCUUAAUUCAGAUAUGUACAUAGAAAAGGAAGGAACCUUUAAUGGAGUUUUCAGAUAAUUGUGAAUAUUUUUCUUAGUACACCAAAACUAAAUAAGUAAGAUUUUUACUUUUCUGUGAUAUGGAAACUGAAACCAUAUCAACAACAAUAUAUAAUCUGUUAUAUUGUAGUCUAUUUGUCUAUCUUGCACAUUAAAUUGAUUUUUUAUUCAUAUAACUUCGAAACAUCAUAGUUUUAUCACUUGGAAAAUAUUAGUUCAGACUGUUCUGUGGCUCUUCCGAAAGUGUAUACAGGUCACCAUACAAAUCAAAAGUAGCAUCCAUCAAGAUCACCACCAUUUUUUUCAGUAUAGUCUUUAGUUAUCCAGAAUCUCAUAAGUUCAUGGUAGUAGUUUUCAAUUUUUUUUUUUUUUUUUUUUUUUUUUUUUUUUGAGACAAGAGUCUCGGAGUGCAGUGGCGCGAUCUCGGCUCACUGCAAGCUCCGCCUCCCGAGUUCGCGCCAUUCUCCUGCCUCAGCCUCCCAAGUAGCUGGGACUACAGACGCCCGCCACCAAGCCCGGCUGAUUUUUUGUAUUUUUAGUAAAGACGGAGUUUCACCGUGUUAGCCAGGACGGUCUCAAUCUCCUGACCUUGUGAUUCGCCCGCCUCGUCCUCUCAAAGUGCUGGAUUACAGGCGUGAGCCGCUGCGCCCAGACUCAGUUUAUUUUUAACUCAAGUUUUGCCUUUGGCGAAAGCAACGAUGCCUCUCAAAGCUUAGCACGAAGAACUGUGCCCUCUUUUAAUUCCUUUCUGUGUUUAGUCAUCUGAACAAACACAUUUCUUUAAUUUCACACUUACAGUGGAAUUUUUCUUGCUGGCAGUGACCAUAGCUCAAGGUCAUGAUUGGAAAAUAGUAAUCCUCUAUGAAAGCUUCGUAUCACAGGAAGAAAGUACCUUGCUUCCUCUUCACCUUCUGCCAUGAUUGUAAGUUUCCUGAGGCCUCCUCAACCAUGCUGAACUCUUGCUUAGUUAUCAAUCCAGUGGGAAUAAAUUCUGGCAAGGGAGACAGCAUGGUGGAGAGGCUAAGAAUUCAGUGACUGGAGCCAAUUACACUGGGUUGGAAACCUCUAUCAUUGCUUACUAACUGGAUAAACUUGGGCAGGUCGCUCAACAUCUCUGAAAUAAUAUUGACUUAAGCCUAGGAUUGUUAGAAGAAUAAAUUGGUUAAUAUGUGUAAGGAUCUUAGUAUUAGACUCAAAAUAAGAAUCAUAAAUAUUACUGUUAAUUAUCACCAUGAAAACCCAAGGCUUACUGAGAUUACGUGAUCAACUUACUCUGCAGUGGAGAGGAGGAGGGUAAACAGAAGGAGCUUUGACCAACAGCUGCUGCCAAGCUUUACGACUUGGAGGAGAUAAGGGUUGUGGAUGUAUUUAUUAUCUUCUGUGGAAAGAAAAAUGAUCGUCUGUGUUAAAAUUCAAUCAAAUCUACAUUAUCUAAUUGAAGCACAUCCAAGGGACACAUUUUGUUGUUAACAGAAACAUUAAUCUGAAAGCAGG
ensembl:lncRNA